GACGAACGCUGGCGGCAUGCCUAAUACAUGCAAGUCGAGCGAACAGAUGAAGUGCUUGCACUUCUGACGUUAGCGGCGAACGGGUGAGUAACACGUAAGGAAUCUACCUAUAAGCGGGGGAUAACAUUCGGAAACGGGUGCUAAUACCGCAUAAUAUCUUCUUCCGCAUGGAAGAAGAUUGAAAGACGGCUCUGCUGUCACUUAUAGAUGACCUUGCGGUGCAUUAGUUCGUUGGUGGGGUAACGGCCUACCAAGACGAUGAUGCAUAGCCGACCUGAGAGGGUGAUCGGCCACAUUGGGACUGAGACAGGGCCCAAACGCCUAAGGGAGGCAGCAGUAGGGAAUCUUCCGCAAUGGGCGAAAGCCUGACGGAGCAAUGCCGCGUGAGUGAAGAAGGCCUUCGGGUCGUAAAACUCUGUUAUAAGAGAAGAACAAAUUGUAGAGUAACUGCUACAGUCUUGACGGUAUCUUAUCAGAAAGCCACGGCUAACUACGUGCCAGCCGCCGCCGUAA
rnacentral:rRNA from 1 species